ACCACGGGGGGCAGCAGUGGGGAAUAUUGCGCAAUGGGGGAAACCCUGAUGCAGCGACGCCGCGUGAGCGAUGAAGUAUUUCGGUAUGUAAAGCUCUACCAGCAGGGAAGAAAAUGACGGUACCUGACUAAGAAGCCCCGGCUAACUACGUGCCAGCAGCCGCGGUAACACGUAGGGGGCAAGCGUUACCCGGAUUUACUGGGUGUAAAGGGGGCGCAGACGGCGAUGCAAGCCAGGAGUGAAAGCCCGGGGCCCAACCCCGGGACUGCUCUUGGAACUGCGUGGCUGGAGUGCAGGAGGGGCAG
rnacentral:rRNA from 1 species